rnacentral:rRNA from 1 species
AUUGAACGCUGGCGGCAUGCUUUACACAUGCAAGUCGAACGGUAACAGGCCGCAAGGUGCUGACGAGUGGCGAACGGGUGAGUAAUGCAUCGGAACGUGCCCAGUCGUGGGGGAUAACUACUCGAAAGAGUAGCUAAUACCGCAUACGAUCUAUGGAUGAAAGCGGGGGACCGUAAGGCCUCGCGCGAUUGGAGCGGCCGAUGUCAGAUUAGGUAGUUGGUGGGGUAAAGGCUCACCAAGCCAACGAUCUGUAGCUGGUCUGAGAGGACAACCAGCCACACUGGGACUGAGACACGGCCCAAACUCCACGGGAGGCAGCAGUGGGGAAUUUUGGACAAUGGGCGCAAGCCUGAUCCAGCAAUGCCGCGUGCAGGAAGAAGGCCUUCGGGUUGUAAACUGCUUUUGUACGGAACGAAACGGCUCUGGUUAAUACCCGGGGCUAAUGACGGUACCGUAAGAAUAAGCACCGGCUAACUACGUG